rnacentral:rRNA from 1 species
CCCACUGAUUUUAUUGAAGGGCCGCAGUAUAUUGACUGUGCAAAGGUAGCAUAAUCAUUAGUUUUUUAAUUAAAAGCUUGUAUGAAUGAUUGGACGAGAUAAAUUCUGUCUCUUUAUAAUAAAUUAGAAUUUAAUUUUUAAGUAAAAAAGCUUAAAUAAUAAUAAAAGACGAGAAGACCCUAUAGAUCUUUAUAUAUUUAAUUAUAAAUUUAAUAAAGAAUAUUUAUUUUUUUUAUAUUUAUAUUUAUUUUAUUGGGGUAAUAAAAAGAUUAGUUUAAUUCUUUUUAAUUAUUUUUCAUUAAUUAAUGAGUUUUUGAUCCAGUUUUAUUGAUUAUAAGAUUAAGUUACCUUAGGGAUAACAGCGUAAUUUUUUUAAAGAGUUCAUAUCGAUAAAAAAGUUUGCGACCUCGAUGUUGGAUUAAAAAUUAUUUCAGGUGUAGAAUUUUGAAAUUUUGGUCUGUUCGACCAUUAAAUUUUU